GACGAACGCUGGCGGCGUGCUUAACACAUGCAAGUCGAACGGUAAGGCCCCUCGGGGUACACGAGUGGCGAACGGGUGAGUAACACGUGGGUGAUCUGCCCUGCACUUCGGGAUAAGCCUGGGAAACUGGGUCUAAUACCGGAUAGGACCCUGGGAUGCAUGUCCUGGGGUGGAAAGCUUUUGCGGUGUGGGAUGGGCCCGCGGCCUAUCAGCUUGUUGGUGGGGUGAUGGCCUACCAGGGCGACGACGGGUAGCCGGCCUGAGAGGGUGACCGGCCACACUGGGACGGAGAUACGGCCCAGACUCCUACGGGAGGCAGCAGUGGGGAAUAUUGCACAAUGGGCGCAAGCCUGAUGCAGCGACGCCGCGUGAGGGAUGACGGCCUUCGGGUUGUAAACCUCUUUCAGCACCGACGAAGCGCAAGUGACGGUAGGUGCAGAAGAAGGACCGGCCAACUACGUGCCAGCCGCCGCCGUAA
rnacentral:rRNA from 1 species